GCCAAUGUCAUUAAGCAUAUACUAAAAUUGGAACAAUACAGAGAACGUUAGCAUGGCCCCUGCACAAGGAUGACAUGCAAAGUCUUGAAGAAUUCUAAGCAAUC